rnacentral:tRNA from 2 species
GCGCGUAUAACUCAGUUGGUCAGAGUGCCUCCCUUACAAGGAGGAAGUCGGAGGUUCGAAUCCUUCUACGCGCA